rnacentral:rRNA from 1 species
UACGAAGGGGGCUAGCGUUGCUCGGAAUCACUGGGCGUAAAGCGCACGUAGGCGGAUUUUUAAGUCAGGGGUGAAAUCCUGGAGCUCAACUCCAGAACUGCCUUUGAUACUGGGAAUCUCGAGUCCGGGAGAGGUGAGUGGAACUCCGAGUGUAGAGGUGAAAUUCGUAGAUAUUCGGAAGAACACCAGUGGCGAAGGCGGCUCACUGGCCCGGUACUGACGCUGAGGCACGAAAGCGUGGGGAGCAAACAGG